rnacentral:rRNA from 1 species
GACGUAGGAUGCAAGCGUUGUCCGGAAUUAUUGGGCGUAAAGAGUUCGUAGGCGGUUAUUUAAGUCUGGUGUUAAAUACUGGCGCUCAACGUCAGCAUGGCAUGAGAAACUGGAUGGCUAGAGUGUGGCAGAGGUCAAGGGAAUUCCAGGUGUAGCGGUGAAAUGCGUAGAUAUCUGGAGGAACACCGGCGGCGAAAGCGCUUGACUGGGCCAUAACUGACGCUGAGGAACGAAAGCCGGGGGAGCAAAAGGG